rnacentral:ncRNA from 1 species
ACAGUCGUAGAAAGGAGAGAUGGUUGGUAUCUCCCUCGACCAGAACAUGAAUAGUCUUCAGACUUUCUGUCACAUACAACUAAGGUUGGGUAUCGUUGCAAUGAACCGUAAUUCGUU